GACAGAGGAGGCUAGCGUUGUUCGGAAUCACUGGGCUUAAAGCGCGUGUAGGCGGCUUGGUAAGUGCUUUGUGAAAUACCCCGGCUCAACCGGGGAACAGCUCGGCAUACUGCCAGGCUUGAGGCAGGUAGGGGUCACUGGAACUCUAGGUGGAGCGGUGAAAUGCGUAGAUAUCUAGAGGAACGCCCGGGGCGAAAGCGGGUGACUGGGCCUGUCCUGACGCUGAGGCGCGAAAGCGUGGGGAGCAAACGGG
rnacentral:rRNA from 1 species